AUUGAACGCUGGCGGCAGGCUUAACACAUGCAAGUCGAGCGGAGAUGAGGUGCUUGCACCUUAUCUUAGCGGCGGACGGGUGAGUAAUGCUUAGGAAUCUGCCCAUUAGUGGGGGACAACAUUCCGAAAGGAAUGCUAAUACCGCAUACGUCCUACGGGAGAAAGCAGGGGAUCUUCGGACCUUGCGCUAAUAGAUGAGCCUAAGUCGGAUUAGCUAGUUGGUGGGGUAAAGGCCUACCAAGGCGACGAUCUGUAGCGGGUCUGAGAGGAUGAUCCGCCACACGGGGACUGAGACACGGCCCAGACUCCUACGGGAGGCAGCAGUGGGGAAUAUUGGACAAUGGGGGGAACCCUGAUCCAGCCAUGCCGCGUGUGUGAAGAAGGCCUUAUGGUUGUAAAGCACUUUAAGCGAGGAGGAGGCUACUGAGACUAAUACUCUUGGAUAGUGGACGUUACUCGCAGAAUAAGCACCGGCUAACUCUGUGCCAGCCGCCGCAGUAACAC
rnacentral:rRNA from 1 species